rnacentral:SRP_RNA from 1 species
GCUGGGCGUGGUGGCACGUGCCUGUAGUCCCAGCUACUCUGGAGGCUGAGGCUGGAGGUUCGCUUGAGUCCAGGAAUUCUGGGCUGUAGUGCGCUAUGCUGAUUGGGUGUCCGCACCAAGUUUGCCCUCAAUAUGGUGACCUCCUGGGAGCGGGGACCACCAGGCUGCCUAAGGAGGGAUAAACCGGCCCAGGUCAGAAACGGAGCAGGUCAAAACUCCCGUGCUGAUCAGUAGUGGGAUUGUGCCUGUGAAUAGCCACUGCACUCCAGCCUGGGCAACAUAGCAAGACCCCAUCUCC